CUUGAAUUUAGUCCUAGCAUCAUUCACAGUUAUACUGGCAUGUGCUUUUGCAGGAAGGACGCUGGACUCUUGCACUAUAAGUUGAAAACAUCGCUUAUAAACAAUACAUCACAGCACACUUGCAGAGAGAGCACUGGUUCAUCAAAAUAAGAUAUGAUCAAGGUACAAAAGAGUUAAAGAAGCUAUUUAUUUUAAUGUUUCCUUGGAGAGCACACUUGUUAUUAUGCCUGCCCCAGCUUUGCCUUCCACCAUGAGUAAAAGCUUCCCAAGUCCUCCCCAGAAGCAGAUGCUGGCGCUAUGCUUCUGGUACAGCCUGAAAAACCUUGAGCCAAUUAAACCUCAGUGAGCUCAAGAUGUCUUUGUUGAAACAGAACCUCCCGAAGUUACAGUAUUGGUUUUGGGGCUCCACACAGAGAACACAUCACGGAAGCUAUAAUUGAGGAAGACAAAGCUGUCAGGACGACACCAAGAGAGUUAGAAAGCCCAAGAGUGGAGCAUUCUUCACCAUGAUUCCACCUGACACUUGGCUGAAAGCAUUUUGCACUAAUUUGCUUUGUGCCCGUUCAGACAAUCUAAAAAGAAAGGAUGGGGGGACAACAAGUGUCUAUUACACAGAAUAAACAGCCUCUGGCAAAUGAAUACAUUUUACACACUUGUGCUUUUGGAGGGAUGGGGUAGUGAUGAGGGGAAGGGGAAUGGAGGAGGAGAAGUCAAGGAUUAGAGGUCUCUUCAGCAUCUCAGGACUGCCUCUCUCUCUCUGUGGUCACAGGGGUAGGUUUGGUCCACAUGGCAGACAUGAAACUCAAGAUACAGCCCUGGCGUAUACGGGUUGGGAGGCCAGUGCUGCCUCUGGUGGUCCCCCCAGACCUGCAAUUCAUAUUUUGAAUGGGUUUAAAGCCUACUUGGCAAUUACUUUUAUCCUCUAAUGAAAUAGAUUUGAACCACUUUCCCUUGAUUAUAUUUUAAAUGUUU
rnacentral:lncRNA from 10 species